AACACACAGACACGCAGUGUAUGAAAUGGCUGAACCUGGAACAUCUGCUGAUGUUUCUCCAGGUCCUCGAGAAAGACCCAAGUCCCUCUGUCCAGCUGGUGGCAACUGAGAUCAUAAGUGACAUCUGUCCUGGCCGAAUGCUUGGGGAAUGAAGCGGAACGGAGACAAACAGAAAAAGGCGCUCCAUUAGUAUAAGGGCCUUACUGUCAAUCAAAGUUUAACCCCACCCUUGGCCCCGUAACCCUGCCCACCGGUCACUGGAAGUUCCAAGCCAUGGGGUAUUACUUCCACGGUCAAGGCGGACACAUGACUGGAAGCAAGGUGUGUCAUGUGACCCCUCUAAGACCUCCUCCCACUGUUCUCUACCAAUCAGGAUGGGUUUUGCUCUGAUAGGAACGCCCCAAGAGAAGAUUUGACCAAUCGGGGGAGUUCCGGGGCAGGGUGACCUGUCUGGAAGUGGUUCGUGUGACCCCUCUAAGAAUUCCUCCCACCACCCUCUACCAAUCACUAGGGUUUUCAGCCACUGGAGACCACCCCAAGAGGAGAUUUGACCAAAAUGGGGCAGGUUCUCGGACUGGGUGAACUGCCCAGAAGAGGGUCAUGUGGCCCCUCUAAGAACUCCUCCCAACACCCUCUUCCAAUCAGAGUGCAGCACCAUCACCCCAUAAGUCCCAGCACCGGGCAGAGGAAGCCAUCUCUUACCAAGAAGACAUGUUUUAGAAAUUGUGGAAAAACUGAAAAGAAACAUGGACUCCUUUACCACCCCCGUGAGAACUUCAGAUUUUGUUUUAGCCCCGAGGACCUUUGGAGUUGUGUGGAGAAAGCGCUACGGCAGUGACAGUUCCGAGGAGGGCCCUUUGACUCAACCGUUGAUGGAUAUGACGAAACCCGACCCCAAAAUCCAAAGCUUUGUGAGGUACCCCGAUGAGUGUGACAGCCUCUCAUUGUCCACCCCCUAAAGUUGGAAUGUGAUCGUGGCUUGGGGGAGUCACAAGGUGAAUGGGAAAGACAUCGCUCAGCUCGACGAUGCCUUUCUAGAGGCCUUUGAGAAGUUACACAUCGGUAGCCAUGUGGGAGUAAAUCUAUUGCGCAUCAGCUGUUUUUGCUCCUGUCUGAGAUGCAGAUUUCAAGAGGAAAAUCCAGAAAAGGACAAAAAUGGAAGAAUGAACCAGCUCAGAUUU